CCCUUAGAUGUUCUGGACCGCACGCGUGCUACACUGAGUAAUUCAAUGGGUAAGGGAACGCUAGAGCAUUACCUAAUCUUGAAAUUUGCUCGUGAUGGGGAUCGACGGUUGCAAUUUUCCGUCGUGAACGAGGAAUACCUUGUAGGCGCAUGUCAUCAUCAUGCGCCGAAUACGUCCCUGCCCUUUGUACACACCGCCCGUCGCUCCUACCGAUUGAGUGAUCCGGUGAGGCUCUGGGACCUGGACGGAAAGAGCGUUUCGCUUGUUCUGUUUGGGAAACUUGGUCGAACCUUAUCAUUUAGAGGAAGGAGAAGUCGUAACA
rnacentral:rRNA from 1 species